CGUUCUUCGGAAUUAUUGGGCGUAAAGGGCGCGUAGGCGGCUUUUCAAGUGACGGGUGAAAUCCCUCGGCUUAACCGAGGAACUGCCUGUCAGACUGGAAGGCUUGAGACCGGGAGAGGUGAGUGGAAUUCCCAGUGUAGCGGUGAAAUGCGUAGAUAUUGGGAGGAACACCAGUGGCGAAGGCGGCUCACUGGACCGGAACUGACGCUGAGGCGCGAAAGCGUGGGGAGCAAACAGG
rnacentral:rRNA from 1 species